rnacentral:rRNA from 1 species
AACGAACGCUGGCGGCGUGGAUUAGGCAUGCAAGUCGAACGUGAAAGGGGCUUCGGCCCUGAGUAAAGUGGCAAACGGGUGAGUAACGCGUGGAGAACCUGCCCGGAAGCGGGGGAUAACACUUCUAACGAGGUGCUAAUACCGCAUGUGUCUGCGUGAGCGCAUGCUCGCGCAGGUAAACGUGGCCUCUGCUCGCAAGCUACGGCUUCCGGAUGGCUCUGCGUCUCAUUAGCUAGUUGGUGGGGUAACGGCUCACCAAGGCGACGAUGGGUAGCUGGUCUGAGAGGAUGGUCAGCCACACUGGGACUGAGAUACGGCCCAGACUCCUACGGGAGGCAGCAGUCGAGAGGCUUCCGCAAUGGGGAAACCCUGACGGAGCGACGCCGCGUGAGCGAUGAAGG